rnacentral:rRNA from 1 species
GUGCGUAGGUGGAUAUUUGAGUCAGAUGUGAAAUCCCUGGGCUCAACCCAGGACCUGCAUUUGAAACUGGAUGUCUAGAGUGCGGGAGAGGUAAGUGGAAUUCCUAGUGUAGCGGUGAAAUGCGUAGAGAUUAGGAAGAACACCAGUGGCGAAGGCGACUUACUGGACCGUAACUGACACUGAGGCACGAAAGCGUGGGUAGCAAACAGGAUUAGAUACCCUGGUAGUCCACGCCGUAAACGAUGAGUACUAGGUGUAGGGGGUAUCGACUCCCCCUGUGCCGCAGUUAACACAAUAAGUACUCCGCCUGGGAAGUACGAUCGCAAGAUUAAAACUCAAAGGAAUUGACGGGGGCCCGCACAAGCAGCGGAGCAUGUGGUUUAAUUCGAAGCAACGCGAAGAACCUUACCUAGACUUGACAUCCCCUGCAUUACUCGUAACUGAGGAAGUCCUUCGGGACAGGGAGACAGGUGGUGCAUGGUUGUCGUCAGCUCGUGUCGUGAGAUGUUAGGUUAAGUCCUGCAACGAGCGCAACCCUUAUCAUUAGUUGCUACCAUUCAGUUGAGCACUCUAGUGAGACUGCCCGGGUUAACCGGGAGGAAGGUGGGGAUGACGUCAAAUCAUCAUGCCCCUUAUGCUUAGGGCUACACACGUGCUACAAUGGGUGGUACAGAGGGCAGCCAAGUCGUGAGGCGGAGCUAAUCCCUUAAAGCCAUUCUCAGUUCGGAUUGCAGGCUGAAACUCGCCUGCAUGAAGCUGGAGUUACUAGUAAUCGCAGAUCAGAAUGCUGCGGUGAAUGCGUUCCCGGGUCUUGUACACACCGCCCGUCACACCACGGAAGUUGGGGGCGCCCGAAGCCAGAUAGCUAACCUUUUGGAAGCGUCUGUCGAAGGUGAAAUCAAUAACUGGGGUGAAGUCGUAACAAGGUAGCCGU